rnacentral:rRNA from 1 species
UGGGGAAUAUUGCGCAAUGGGGGGAACCUUGACGCAGCCAUGCCGCGUGAAUGAAGAAGGCCUUCGGGUUGUAAAGUUCUUUCGGUAUUGAGGAAGGUUGAUGUGUUAAUAGCACAUCAAAUUGACGUUAAAUACAGAAGAAGCACCGGCUAACUCCGUGCCAGCAGCCGCGGUAAUACGGAGGGUGCGAGCGUUAAUCGGAAUAACUGGGCGUAAAGGGCACGCAGGCGGUUAUUUAAGUGAGGUGUGAAAGCCCCGGGCUUAACCUGGGAAUUGCAUUUCAGACUGGGUAACUAGAGUACUUUAGGGAGGGGUAGAAUUCCACGUGUAGCGGUGAAAUGCGUAGAGAUGUGGAGGAAUACCGAAGGCGAAGGCAGCCCCUUGGGAAUGUACUGACGCUCAUGUGCGAAAGCGUGGGGAGCAAACAGGAUUAGAUACCCUGGUAGUCCACGCUGUAAACGCUGUCGAUUUGGGGGUUGGGGUUUAACUCUGGCGCCCGUAGCUAACGUGAUAAAUCGACCGCCUGGGGAGUACGGCCGCAAGGUUA